UACAGAGGGGGCAAGCGUUGUUCGGAAUUACUGGGCGUAAAGGGCGCGUAGGCGGCCCGCUAAGUCGAACGUGAAAUCCCCGAGCUCAACUCGGGAACUGCGUCCGAUACUGGUGGGCUUGAAUCCGGGAGAGGGAUGCGGAAUUCCAGGUGUAGCGGUGAAAUGCGUAGAUAUCUGGAGGAACACCGGUGGCGAAGGCGGCAUCCUGGACCAAUUCUGACACUGAGGAGCGAAAGCCAGGGGAGCAAACGGG
rnacentral:rRNA from 1 species